rnacentral:rRNA from 1 species
CAGCCGCCACGGUAAUACGAAGGGGGCUAGCGUUGUUCGGAUUUACUGGGCGUAAAGCGCACGUAGGCGGACUUUUAAGUCAGGGGUGAAAUCCCGGGGCUCAACCCCGGAACUGCCCUUGAUACUGGGAGUCUUGAGUUCGAGAGAGGUGAGUGGAAUUGCGAGUGUAGAGGUGAAAUUCGUAGAUAUUCGCAGGAACACCAGUGGCGAAGGCGGCUCACUGGCUCGAUACUGACGCUGAGGUGCGAAAGCGUGGGGAGCAAACAGGAUUAGAUACCCGAGUAGUCCCUGUCUCUUAUAC